rnacentral:rRNA from 1 species
ACGCACGCUGGCGGCGUGCUUCACCCAUGCCAGUCGCACGGAAAGGCCCUGCUUGCAGGGUACUCGAGUGGCGAACGGGUGAGUAACACGUGGGUGAUCUGCCCUGCACUUCGGGAUAAGCUUGGGAAACUGGGUCUAAUACCGGAUAGGAGCCAUCUUUAGUGUGGUGGUUGGAAAGUUUUUUCGGUGUAGGAUGAGCUCGCGGCCUAUCAGCUUGUUGGUGGGGUAAUGGCCUACCAAGGCGGCGACGGGUAGCCGGCCUGAGAGGGUGUACGGCCACAUUGGGACUGAGAUACGGCCCAGACUCCUACGGGAGGCAGCAGUGGGGAAUAUUGCACAAUGGGCGCAAGCCUGAUGCAGCGACGCCGCGUGGGGGAUGAAGGCCUUCGGGUUGUAAACUCCUUUCGCUAGGGACGAAGCUUUUUUGUGACGGUACCUAGAUAAGAAGCACCGGCUAACUACGUG